rnacentral:rRNA from 1 species
AUUGAACGCUGGCGGCAGGCCUAACACAUGCAAGUCGAACGAGUGGCGGACGGGUGAGUAACGUCUGGGACACUGCCUGAUGGAGGGGGAUAACUACUGGAAACGGUAGCUAAUACCGCAUACCAUCAGAUGUGCCCAGAUGGGAUUAUCUAGUUGGUGGGGUAACGUCUCACCAAGGCGACGAGCCCGAACUGGUCUGAGAGUAUGAACAGCCAAACUGGAACUGAGACACGGUCCAGACUCCUACGGGAUGCAGCAGUGGGGAAUAUUGCACAAUGGGCGCAGGCCUGAGGCAGCCAUGCCGCGUGUAUGAAGAAGGCCGUCGGGUUGUAAAGUACUUUCAGCGGGGAGGCGUUACCCGCAGAAGAAGCACCGGCUAACUCCGUGCCAGCAGCCGCGGUAAUAC